CUUGCUGUUGUCGUCUUCGGGCACAUUAGGAAGUCUUCUCACAGUCACAUGGCAUAUGUGCUUUGUAUUUCAGGGACAGCUGAUAUUCCAGGAUGUGACCAUAGAUUUUACUGAAGAGGAGUGACUGGACCUCCGUCAAGGGGCAUUGUAUAGGGAUGUGAUGUUAGAGAAGUAUAGGAACUUGGCCACUUUGGGUCUUGUGGUUUCUCAGCCAAACCUUGUCGCUUUUCUGGAGAAAAUGAAGGAGCCCAGGAGUAUAAGGAGAACGAAGACAGUGGCCGUAUACCCAGGGAUUGGAAUGAAAACUGACCUUUUCCAGUCCUGUGGCCACUGCUGAGCUUUCCAAAUUUGCUGGCAUAUUGAGUGCAGCACUUUCACAGCGUCAUCUUCCAGAAGAUGUAUUCCCAAAA